rnacentral:lncRNA from 1 species
CUGAGCACUGCCCACAGCUGCCCUUGCCCCUGCCUUUCCACGUUGCACAAGCCCAGCGCACGGUACCCACUGGAUAUGCCCGAGGCCUCCAGAGGAAAGGAAAGGAGGAAAAGGGACAGAAGAAAUGUUCACAGGAACUGCAUAUGGGCCUGCUACUUGUGUCAAAAUGUGACUGAACUCUCUUCCAGCAGGCUGGAGUGCAGUGGUGCGAUCUCAGCUCAUUGCAACCUAUGCCUCCCGGGUUCAAACGAUGCGUAGUAUGGCAGCAAUUAAGAUGGAAGUAAUGAGGAAAAGGAAUACUUAUCAAUGGAGAUUAGAGAGAGCCAAGCUUACUCUGAGGGAGGUCUGAAUGCCAUAUUGUGAGCGGCCCUGCUGAAAGACCCAUGUGGCAAGGAUCUGAGAUCAUUGGCCAACAGGCUGCAAAGAGUCCUACCAACAGCCAGGCUGGUGUUCUUGGAAGUGGAUCUUCUCCUACUCUCCUACUUGAGAUGACUGCAGCCCCAGCUAACACUUCGAUUGCAGCCUUGUUAAGAUAUCACGGGCCAGACACACCCAGCUAAGUUAUGCCUGAGUUACUAGCCCACAGAAAUGAUAAGAUAAUAAAUAUUUGCUGUUUUAAGCUGCUAAGUUUUGGGUUAAUUUGUUAUACAACAAUGGAUAACUAAUACAAGUGCAGUCAUUGAUCUCAUUGAACACACCCGUAAUUCUUUGGAAAAAUGUCUACUUUCUCACCAAACUAAAAUCCAUUAAUUCCAGUAGUUAGGUGUUUGGCAAUGCCUUUAAAACGAUGCAUAGAAGUACAUGGCCAGGUCUUUAAAAUUGCGUUGCUAGACUGAAGAAGAGCUGUCUGACUUACUGGGCUUCCCACGUUCCUGCCUUCAGUUCCUGGGUUAGUGUCACAGGUUGCGGAUUUUCCACUCCAUCUCCCAGUCAUGUCUCUGGCACUUCCCCCGCUUGGCUCCUAGUAAUCAACUUUGGCUGACCUCUAACUCUCCACCUCCUGGACCACAAAAUAAACCCAAUGCUCUGAUCAUAGCUCCUCUGCAACUAUGUUUACUCCUUGGUUUGGGAUCUGCCCAGACUCUCAUUACGCCUGCCAUAGCAUUAUCCCUCUGUCCUGUACCUACGGAUGAAGCAAACCAUUGAUUUCUCCAACUAUGCUAAGUAAGAGCAAGUCAUAUUGUAAGUAAUUUAAUAAUAUAGAAUUUCUAGAGUUAUAAAAUAAUGAAGCAAUUUUAUAAAAACUAUCUUUUUAACAGGUUAAAAAAUAAAGCAAUGUCAUCAUUUCCAUUAAAUUUUGAACAAUAGAAGGCAAGCACUACUCAUUUCUAAAAAGAAAGCUUGCGCUUUUGAGGAUGAAAAGGUUUGAGUUAAUUGUAAACCAUGUAAUCAUAUGGUUAUUUUUUAGCUUUAAACUAAUAAAAUAAUGGUGCCUUCUUAUCACGGUAGGCAGUGCGUCAGUCUCAUAAACUAAUACAACAUUUUGCUCUACAAUACAUUUGAGGUGUUUUCUACAUCAAGAAUUUGCCUCACACUGACAAAAUAAUUGUGCAACAUAUAUUCGUUGAAAAGCUAUAAAAGACAGGACACUGGGCUGGGCUUUAUGAGAGCACAACAAAAAUGAAAUUAGAAAAGUUGGGGAGAAAUAUUUUUUAAAACUUUCCCUCCAAUUCCCAUCUCUCCCGUGAAAUAUGUUGGAAAAAUAUUUUUCUUCCUUGCUUAUAUGGCACCCGAACUGUCAAUCUCUGAAUACCAAAAAUUAAAAAUUUCUGGAAAAAAAUCAUUUUAUAUAACCUACUUUUGUUCUUCAAACUAAAAAAAUCAUUUUAGAUUUGCUUUAAAACUACUAAAACUUAUAUUUUGUAUAUAUUCCAACUUUCUUAAAUGGUCAAGGAUCUUAAAACAUUUAUUUCCUGCUUCUAGAAUUUCAAAAAAUCUUAUCUUACUCUUAGACUUACUCAAUAUGCACAUAUAUGAGAGCAUUUAAAGCAAGUAAUAUCUGACAAAUUAGUGAUGUUUUAGAGCAUCUCCAGUUCACUACCUUUUACUCCAAGAAUGUCAAGUUCUUGAGAGAAGAAAUUUUCAUCUGUUUUGUUCACUACUAUAUCUCCAAGGCCUGGGACAGUGAAUGCACAGCACAUAGUAGGUGCUCAGUAAAUUAUGUGUUAAUCGAAGGGAUGACUGCACACUUUGGGAGAACGGGGUUGGGAUUUUGCUAACAUUUUUACUCUCACUAUCCUGCCAUCAUGUGUAGAUGAAUGUGGAGUAGAUACUCUUUCCUGCUGAUAUAAUGAUUCCAACUUUCAACUCCUGUAAAAGAAUUAUAUUUUGCUUUAAAUAGAAAUAAAUGUGAAAAUAUUCUCAAAGGCCUGAACUCAAAAGGAAGAAAAAAACCCUUUCCCAACCUGUUAUUUACCUUAAUCUUCUUUAGAGUGAGUCUUUGCGAUCCUCAGUCCCUUAAGCACUUUCUAAAGAUGAACUAGAUCAGAUUCAGGAAGAUGAAAGGAAGUCAAAGCCUCAGAUUAAAAAACUAGCUAACGCCCAAAUAGUGGCGCUGGGCUGCAGUGUGUGCACGCAGGAUAACAGCAAGUUACUCUUAAGAAGCUAAAAGACAUUUGCUUGUUGGGUCUUAUUGUGGCUUUCUUUCCUCCUUUGUUCCUUCCCUCUCCUCCCCUACUUUUCUUUCAUCCCCCCUUCUUUCCUCCCUCUUUUCAGUCUUUCAUCCUGAUCUCAGGGCUUUCUAAGAAAAUUGGAACCUUUUGGGCAGGGCAUUUCUUCCCAUAUGUUAUAUUCCACUGUAAGACACACACAUAGAAAUCAGUACUGGAUUACUUUUCUCUGGAAUUUACUUCUAGAAAAGAAGAAUGAUUUUUUUGUUAAAUGGCUAAUGUCAGGAUUUUUUUUCUCCAAAAACAACUUUCAAUUUUUAUCUUUAGAUUGGUACACACUUAGGGCAAAAAUCUAUCCUUUCCUUUCUUCUAUAACCAUAUCCACACUUCCUGAACAGUAAGAAUUAGUUUUCAUAAUUUGGAAAUACAAAUUUAUAUAUUUCUUCAACAGUUUACAAAGAUCCCAUUUUAAUCCUCACAAUAACCCUAUACAAUUAUAACUCAAUACAAGGAAAGAAAAUAUUAUUACUACCCCAUAGGGAAGUCCCUGCAUUUCGCUCAUAAAUAAGCAAAAAACAUCUUGAAAAUCACAUCUGAUGUUUGUUGAAAUUUCUGAGGCAGUUAGAUGUGGGUAUGAACCAGGGAAUGUGUUUUCUUUGAAUUCCGUAGCUCUUCUACUCAUUUCUUUAUAUUCUUUUUAUUUCUUAACCAUAUGUUUUUGUACUGUAUUAAUGAAAAACUGUGGGAUCCCUUGCUGGGGGGAUUAGACUUGAGGGAACUUGUUCUGUGUUUAGGGAGGGAGAGGGAGUGCUUUCUGCCUCAUCUUUCUAUUGUGCCCAUCACGUUUCUUGGUGCCAAUUCUGGGG